CUUGUUUCUGAAAGAAACCCAGGGCCAAGACUUGAUGCCUUCUUCUCUUCUGCCCCAGCCCUGUUCCUAAUGAUCUUGCAAUCCCUAAAUGACUCCCUGGGUAACCUUCAGCAGGUCAUGCCUGUUCUGUGGGCCUGUGUCCCCCAUCUGUAAAAUGAAAGAUUUGGACUAGAUGAUCUCUUCCAGCUCUGACAUUCUAGGAUCCUGUGAUUCCGUCUUCACCUCCUGGGUUUUCCCAGCAGGAAGCUGAAGGUUGUGGCCCACUUCUUGGGGCUAGGCUGAGGCCCUGGUCCUUGGGCCAGACUGAGGACCCCUGAGAGGCCCUGCUGAGUGAGGUGGCACCAUGGACUGAGCAACCCACGCACAGGAGCUGGCGAAGGCCACGUGUUGGAAUGACAAAGGAGCCCCAUGGCAUGGCACUGCCUUUGAUGGAGAAGAAUGAGAAGGAUGUUAAGGUAGAGGCAGGAAGGAAAGAUGGGGAGAAAAUGGCGAGGGGGACUGUUGAGGUACAGGGAGAGGAGAUGGCUGAUACAGAAAAUGAGGUACUGAUGGAUGGGGAUGAGUGACAGAUGGAAAUGGCUGAGGUGGAAAACAGGUUAAUGAUGGGUUGAAAGGGAGGAAUGUGUAGAGAGUUGAAAUAUUGGAGGAAAUGUCUGUGGAAAAUGGAUGCCCAAAGGGUUUGAGAUAGGAGAGGAAUGAUAAGGGGUGCAAUUCAUUCAGAUAUGAGAGUGAGGCAGGAGGGGGCUUCCUGCAUGUCAUGGAGGGGAUGAGGAUGAAGUGGAGGAAGCAGGAAGGCAAUGAAGGGGAUGGCCACGUGAAGGGUUUGACUGGGUAUGGGUAUGAGUGCCCUUCUCCGGAGGGACUUACCGAAACUUUACAAACCCAUUCAGCGUCCACGCUCGAAGUUUUAAGGGCUCCAGCUGAAUUUUAAACAUCAAGCUGGCUAAGAAGUCUUCUCCCCAGGAGUGUGGGAAGCUCCGGAAAGCUCCUCGGGCCUGUAGUGGGGGUGCUGCUGGGGGUGGGCAGGAGAGCACUGUGCGCUUAAACAUGCCCAGCCAAGCCCCUCACCUCUGAACGCUCCGCGGAGCCGGCCUGGAGUGCUGCAGCUCUGGAAGCCACCUCCUCGGACUCUCAGAGGCGCGUGCCCAGCAAGGGCUGUCUGGCGCAGCAGGUGCCGGACCUGAUCCCCAGGUGUGGAGAGUGAAGGGAGAGGACCCACGGCCACCUGCUCUCAGGUGCAGCAGUGUCUGGCUGGCUGUGAGCGGCUGUAUGGCAGUGUGACAGUGAGGCUGGCAGUGCAAGCGUGUUUGUGAGUGGCAGUGUGUGUACCUGUGACAGGUGUGAUUGUGAGGGCCCGAGAGGCAGUGAGCUGCUGUCGCCUCUCCCUGGGGAGGACCCGACCCCAAUCCCCAAGAACCUACUCAAUGAAGUCACUGACGGGAGUCUCCUCCCUCGCGGAUGGGCGGGGCAGAGCGAAGCUCGGCCCGGACAAAAGGCGCGGCGCGGAGAGGAGGGGAGGGGGCUCGGGCGGGGGAGGGUGGUCGGUGAUGUCACCCGCGCUGGCUGGCUGGCCUGCUCACAGACGCCUCCGCCCCACAGAACCCAAUCCGGUGCGACCCUCCCCUCCCCUCCCCUCCCCUCCCCUCCCCUCCCCCGGCUCAGAAGCUGGCUGCCCCCUGUGACAGCCAAGCCCGGGUCGCCGACUCCGAACACCCUGCAGACCCCGGGGCCCCGCACCCACAGGGCAGCAGAGCCUACGGGCCCUCUGUGUCCCAACCCCUCCUCCCCCCGCCCCGAUACCAGGAGCCCUGGCUUCGCGACGCCCCACUCCCGGGACCCCCGAGUCCUGGCUCGGCGCCCUCACCGGUGAGGAGCUGCGGGCGCCGCCGUGGUCCGUGAGACAGUCGCUGCCCCCUCCCCCGGCUCCGACUCAGCCGCCUCCACCCGGGACAGGAGUCGCCUGCCCGCCGGCCGCCGACAGCGGGACCGGGAGCCCGCCCCCCCCCCCACGGCUCCGCCUCCGCGCCGCCCAUUGAGCCUUCUGCCCGUCACUCAACUCAGCCUCUGCUGUGAUUGGACAGCUUUCAACGAGCGGCUUGGUGAUAACCGCCCAUCCUCCGCCCCUGUCACCCGGCCACACGCGCACACAUUCCAAGCAGUAAUUGGUGUGGAUCUGAUUGGCGCCCUCUGGGAUCACUCAACCACGCCUCUUUGCCAUCUCGUCGUGCCAUUGGUGAAAAAGACAGAGGGCGGCAACCCCGCUCGCCCUUUGAUUUUAUUGGUUCAUGCUUGAGACUCAGACCCGAGCCCGAGGCAACUAUAUUAGUCCAAUCUCCGAGUUGAGAAGGUGGGACGUACUGGCCACUGCUCGAAUCCCAGGAGAACCUUCUGGAACCCGUGCGACGUCAAAGGCAGCCUUAAAGGAAAACUGCACCCA